CGGACGGGUGAGUAACGCGUGAGUAACCUGCCUUACACAAGGGGAUAGCCGUUGGAAACGACGAAUAAUACCCUAUGAAACUAUCACUUCGCAUGAAGCGAUAGUCAAAGUGUUAGCGGUGUAAGAUGGACUUGCGUCUGAUUAGCUAGUUGGCGAGAAAAAAGCCCACCAAGGCAACGAUCAGUAGCCGGCUUGAGAGGGUGUACGGCCACAUUGGGACUGAGACACGGCCCAG
rnacentral:rRNA from 1 species